UGAUGUGGUGAAACCAACUUUAGAGGGAACCUAAUUUAAAAUUUUAAAAUUAAAUCUUGUUUCUAAAGAAAUAAUAGUUAAACUAGUGAUGUUCAUGAUGGACCAGACCAUAUCUCAUAUAGCACCAUUACACCUCAUAGAUACCCCGUUGAGCUGAGGUGUAUAAUAAAAAUUCUAUCAUAAAAUUAUAUCAUUCUCUUUAGAUAGCCAAUAAAUUUUCUAUUUAGUAUUGC
rnacentral:lncRNA from 1 species